rnacentral:lncRNA from 12 species
UCUGACUUUCCAAUGUGUCAUUUAUAUGCCUUUUACUAAUAAUUGUAUUUAAAAAGGUCAACUUUUGUGCAUUCCUCAUAAGUCAAGGGAAAUCUAGCUGCUUAAGGCAUUUACCCAAGACAUUCCAAUUUAGAAUUCAAGAAUGUUUAGGAAUAAGAAGCAAAUUUCAGGCAUUUCUGCAUCUUCUACUCUGUAGACUCCAACCGUUGUCAUAGACCAUAGAAUAUCCAAGAGUAAGGAAGCCUCUUAUAAAUCACCUGAUCUAACCUCUUGACUUAAUUUAUUUACUUUUUUUAGAUUUUAUUUAUAUAUUUGACAAAGAGAGAGAGAGCACAAGAGUCGGGGGAGCAGCAGGCAGAGGAAGAGGGAAAAGCAGGCUCUGGGCUGAGCAGGGAGCCUGAUGAUGUGGGACUCCAUCCCAAGACCCUGGGAUCAACACCUGAGCCUAAGGCAGACACUUUACAGACUGAGCCACGUAGGUGCCCUAACCUCUUUAUUUUAUAGAUGAGAAAGCAAAACCCAUAAUAUUAUGUACCAGAUUCCUUCAGUCUUUUAAGUAGUCAAUGCCAGCCUAAUGCCAUCUUCCCCUCCUUUCACUCCAGAGAUAGUUCUGGGAUAGAACCCAUUGCUUCUCAUGUGUCAUUAUUUUAUUAUUGUCCUUUCACUUCCAAAGGUCAGGCUGCAAACCAGGAAGGGGAAGUAAAAUGCUAACAUUGAUAUCUCACCAAGAAGAAGCACAUAAUUUUGUCCUACUAUUUCCAGGUUUUGGUCUUUUAGUGAGAAAUAACCACUCUAGUUAAAGGUAUGCAAGUAUGCAUCUGGAAAGAAUUCAGGUCAGCAUGGUCAAUAUUUCCAACUCUUGGCUAACCUGAAACGCUCUCUGGAAUGCUCAGCAAGCUGGAACAACACUGGAUGCAGAAUUAUUAGGUCACGUCUGCUGACAGAGCUUGUGAACUCACUUCUUCCUAAGGGCAGUGUGAUGCCACUUCCCCAGUGGACAGUGAUGGUUCUUCCUGCCUUCAGAUCUUUCAGGCUAGCCAGAGCAUGAUCCAGAGAAGCACAAGGAAUGCCAGCAAUCAAGACAUUUUCACCCAUCAGAUCUCCUCUUCUCAAGUCAAUACCUCCAAAACCAUUCUGAAAGGCUCCUAGGCUCUUUAAGAAGAGUGUCAUUAUUCAAACAAUUCAUUCAGACAAAUAAAUACUGAUUCAAUGUCUACUGUUCUGAAGAC